GCGCCCGUAGCUCAACCGGAUAGAGCACUGGUUUUCUAAACCAGAUGUUGCAGGUUCGAGUCCUGCCGGGCGCGCCA
rnacentral:tRNA from 1 species